CCGGCCCGAGUUGCGCGCGGAGGGAUCUACUACGAGUCCUCCGACGGCCCCGCCAGCCUCCUCCGACCCGCGUCGGGUCUGGACGCGCCUUAACUCCCUCGGCGCUGGACUGCCUCCCCGGGCCGGGCCUCUGCCAAAGGAGGCAGAAAACGAAAUCCAGAAGUUGCCCAAGAGCACACAGCUGCUAUGCAGUGGCACAGCCCAGGUCCUUCUGACCACCUCCAGUGGCAACAAAUGACUUCUGCAAAUUACAUCUGCCUGCCCACAGGUCUCUGCCACAGCAUUUCAGUCCCACCCAUUGUUUAGACAACUUGCCUGAGCAUGGACAGGAUGCCCAAUCUCUCGCUUGUCAGCCUCCAACCCUGGGACAACUCAAGGGCUUCAUUUCCCUGUCUCUGCCACUCAGAGGAGAGAAGCUCAGACAAUUCUACAGGGGCCCUGUGACUCCUGUGUUGAGAGUGGACGAGGGGCCGGGGAGCAAGGUGAAAGCAGAAAGACCUGCCAGAGGCCACUGCGAUAAUUCAGCGGAACCGGUAUGACAACAUGCCAUGUGUCUGCCUGAUGUCAUACGACACGUGUUGUGGGGGCCAGGCUGCUCCAGCUGCGCUACGCAGACACUCUUCUCAUUGCCAUUGCCACUCUCGGUGUUGGCGUGCCAUGUCUCCUUGGGAUAAGCCACCGCGGCUGGAUUACUGAAUCCAAGAGCACCAUCAUCCUUCUGCCCCCCGCCCCGGUCCAUACUGUCCCAGUCCCCAGGACGCUCCACCAGCUGCUCCUGAAAGACUUCCUGUCUUAGCACUCCUGCAGUACUUUCAAGGCCUUCCGGGUCAAAUGCUCCAGAAUUCCUCCCCCCUGGUCCCCAGCAUCUCUCACCCUCUCUCCCACUGGGGUUUGCUUCUUUUUCUCCCUCUCCUCCCUCUCCUUCUGGGGAACUCACAAAGGGGAGGAGUAACAAAGAUAAAGUUUAUUGCUGGCUGUGGACAGAGGUAAGAAAAGACAAGGAGGGAUUUUUUUUUUUUUUUUCUCAAGGUCUUAGAGCCCUGAGAAAGGGCCAGCUGCUUCCCUUGGUUAGAUGAGAAUCUUCUGUAAGAAUCAACAAACUAACAAUACUGCUUACUUAGAGACCCUCUUUUUUUCCUUCUGGGGAGAUCAAUGGACUUAACAAUUUCAAUUAUCUUUCACAAUGUCCCCCGGUGCUAGAUCAAACUGCUUCCCCUGGACAAACAUUCCUCUCACCAGGGUGGGAAGUUCACAAACUUUUUGGCUCCUUUAUUCCCUCCCCCCCAUCAGUUUGGUUCUCCCGUCAAAGGACCCCCUUGCUUUCCACAACUCCAAAAUGUACUUGUUCAGUCGUCCCUCUCCAAUUUCAUUCUAAGUGUGGAAGAAAACGUGCCCGUUAUUUACUAAGAGUGGAGACAUUCUUAGGGAUUUCGGGGCCAGUUUUUUUUUUUUUUUCCUGCUGAUCCUAAAAUAAGAAUACCUCCACUCUUAGUACAUAAUGAAUACUUAAUAAAUAAUGAAUACUUAAUAAAUAAUGAAAACUCUAACAGUUAUGGCCAAUUGAUUUUUGACAAAGAAGCCAAGAAAAUUCAAUAGGAAAAGAAUAGCCUUUUUAACAAGUGGUGCCGGGAUAACUGAAUAUCCACACGCAAAAAAUUUAAUUUGGACCUCUAAUGAAUAUCAUACACAAAAAUGAACUCAGAAUGGCUCAUAGACCUAAAUGUAGGAGCUCGGACUAAGACUUUUAGAAGAAAUCUUCAGAGUAAGUCUUUGUGACCUUGGGUUGGACAAUGAUUUCUUAGAUAAAACGCCAAUAGCACUAGUGAUAAAAGAUUGAUGUGUUGAAUUUCAUCAAAAUUAAAAACUACUGCAUUCAGAGGACGCCAUGAAGAAAACUGAAAAGACAGACCAGAGAGUGAGAGAAAAUAUUUGCAAAUCAUAAAUCUGAUAAGGGACUUGUAUCUACACUAUUUAAAACUCUUACAAGUCCAUAAUAAAAAGCCUAAUUUAAAAAUGGGCAAUUACAAUAGACAUUUUUUCCAAAGAAAAUAUUACAAAUGGCUAAUAAACACACAGAGAGUCAUUAGGGAAAUGCAGUUUUACUCACUGGGAUGGCUAUCAUUAAAAAGGCAGACAGUAAUUUUUGGUGAGGAUGUGGAGAAAUUGAAAUCCUCACACACUGCUGAUGGGAAAGUAAAAUGGUGUAGCCACUUUGGAAAAUGGUUUGGCUGUCCCUCUAAAUGCUAAAAAUAGAGUUACCAUAUGACCUAGCAGUUCCAACCCUUGAUAUCAACCAAAGAGAAAUGAAAACAUAUGUCCACCCAAAACUCGUAUGUGAAUGUUCAUAGCUUUAUUCACAUAAUAGCCACCAAAAAAAAAAAAAAAAAAAAAGGAAACAACUCAAAUGUACACCAGCCGAUGAAUGGAUAAACAAAAUGUGAUCUAGCCAUAUGAUGGGAUACUAUUUGGUAAUAAAAAGGAACGAGGUACAGAUACAUGCUGCAAUAUGGUUGAACCCCAAAAUCAUUAUGCUAGGUGAAAAAAGCCAGCCACAGAAGACCACCUAUUGUGUGAUCUCAUUUAUGGAAAAUGAUUCGUAUAGGCAAAUCCAUAGAAACAGAAAGUAGAUUAGUGGUUAGGGAGAGCAGAAAGAGGGGGGUGGGGCAGUGUUAAGUGGUACAGGUUUCUUUGUGGGAUAACGAAAUGUUGGCAAGUGAAUUACAGUGAUAGAUGCACAACACUAGAUCCUAAAAGCCAUUGAAUUGUAUACUUCAAACGUGUGAACUUUACAGGAUAUACAUUUUAGCUCAGUACAGCUAUUUUUAAAAAGUGGCUGCUUGCUCUAGGAAAAUGACACCACAGUGUUCUGUUCAGUGCCCUCAAAAAAUUUGUUCAUGUAAUGCAUGAAGGAACAUGCUAUGGGAUUGGCCUGCAGGGUUGCUAAGUAAUAAAAGCUGGAGGCAGAGAGGGGUCAGGGGAAGAGGAGGACAGAGUAAGGAAUGGAGGAGGGCUGGUAAGGAAUAGGCUAAGAGAUGCAUCCAGAAAUGAAGAUAUAAAUCAUCUUAAGGUUGGAAAGCCAGGUGGGCAAGGGAGAGGAGAUGUGGGAGUGGAAUUUGCAGGAUAUCUUUAAAGGAAAGGAGGUGGGAUAGUUCAAAGCCAAACUGCAAAGCAAGUAAUUAAGAGAAUGAAGACUUCACUGACUCGCUGUGUAUAUCAUGCUGUGUAGAGCUGAUGGGGAUUCCUUGGUUAAAGUAUGUGAGCACUGUAGCCAAUUGGGAAAAGGAAUCACGGUUGCUGUUGCCAAAUUUGUAUCAAAGCAAAAUUAUAAUGCCAUUCUGCAAAUAGCCAGAAAAAAUAAAGUGUUGCCCGUUCUUACAAAGCUGUGGAUUAACAUUAGGUAACUUUUAGGAGACUGCUUCUUUGUCUCAGCAGAAAUUCACGUUUAUAAUCCUAUUUGUACGGUCUCUUGCAUCUCAAAAAGGGUAUUUUUAAUUUCUAAAACCGUUUUCUCCAAAUUAAAGCUUUUUAGAGAGAUGUUCAGUGUGAAAUGUGUCCAUUUUUUAUAUCAGGAUUUUAAAAUAAGAACACAGGGCAAAGGUAAACAAUACAGUGGUAACUCGCUGUAUCUAGUAAGACACACACACUCGUGUGGACACACACACCAUCUCCCAAAAGUUCAAAGCAGGGCAAGAUACAAGUCACCCGACGAUCAGCCUAUUGCCUGUAGGUGUUGGCCCUGCCCACUGAAGAAAGAGCCCAUGUGUCCUCACAGCCUGUCAUAGAGUGCAGAAAAGACAGAGACAGAAUGGCUGUGACCAGGGCUUACUCAUCCAUAGGGAUGCUAGAUGUUGAGAGCUAUAGUAAUUAGCAUGUGUAAAGGGCUUUGCAGUGUAAA